GGCUGCUGCAUCUGCAAGGCAGGGCGCAGAACAAGAAAAGGACAGGAAGACAUUAAAAAAAAAAGGGGGGGAACAGGCGAUGGUGGAGCGCUGAGGUAGAGCAUCUCCAGCAAACGCAGGGUAACAGUGACUCAAGGAUUGGCAGGAUAGCAGGAAAAAAAGUCUCUUAUUUUUUUGGGAUAUGAUUGUGAAAAAUGAUGGGAGGAGAAACACCACACGAGAAGGCAAGAUGACACAAUGAUGGAAAAUAGGAAGAGGUAUCUAAAAGCUGAUAUUUGGAGCCAUCGAGUGAAAAGGAGUACGCGGCAGAAAGAAGAAAGAAGAGCGAAGGAAGAGGAACACUUUGGCCGGGGCUCCAGUCGACGUUGGCAAAGUGGCAGGAGAAGACGACCAGGCGUUCGCCACGACAGAGGGGCGGGGGAGAUCCACAAGGAGAAGGACGAGGGAACACGACGCCGUGUGGAGGCUUGGCGCUGAAAGAAAGGAGAGCGGGGAGGUGGGCUGGACGGCGACGGGAGCGAUGGCUCGGGGCAGCGGCUCCGGGAGGUGGAGCAGGCAGAAGAUGGGUUUGGUCAACACCAUGCUCCGCUGCAACCUCCCACCAGAGACACAGAAGGUGGUGGUGUUCAUCAUCAUGAUGCUGCUCAUUGUCAUUAACGUGGUGCUCAUGUUCCUGCUGGCAUUCCAGUAGGACGACGACACGCUUUCACACACAUGAAAAGCAGGAAAAAGAAAAAGAAAAAGACAGCUGCCUUGUUAAGAAGCUGAGCUCUUUUGGACAAAACAGGUAUUUGUCAAAAGAGAGGACAGACUCUUAGGUUUGUUAUCACGUGUGAAUGUCAGCACAUGAACGGCAACCUGACCUACUUUCUGCUUCUGCAUGUUUCAUCCACAUGGCUGCUAAAUGCUAACAGCUAACACUUUCUAAUGAUGGACGUUAAAAUACUUGCACAGUUGAUAUAGUAUUUGCAAUUGUACCAACUUCCUGUCCCAAAUUUGAAAAUGAUUUCCACUCUCCCAAACACCUUUUGAAUGUUUUGUCAUUGAUGUCCUUCUACUCUGCUUAUGUGACCAAUGUGAGCAAUCAUACUCGACGUAUCUAACCUGGAAUAUAUCACACUGAACUCAA